AGGUGCAAAGGGGAAAG
rnacentral:misc_RNA from 1 species